rnacentral:rRNA from 1 species
CCUACGGGAGGCAGCAGUAAGGAAUAUUGGUCAAUGGAGGCAACUCUGAACCAGCCAUGCCGCGUGCAGGAUGAAGGCCCUAUGGGUCGUAAACUGCUUUUACACAAGAGAAAACCCCGGUACGUGUACCGGGUUGAUAGUAUUGUGAGAAUAAGCAUCGGCUAACUUCGUGCCAGCAGCCGCGGUAAGACGAAGGAUGCAAGCGUUAUCCGGAUUCAUUGGGUUUAAAGGGUGCGUAGGCGGACUUGUAAGUCAGUGGUGAAAUCUCUUUGCUUAACAAAGAAACUGCCAUUGAUACUGCAGGUCUAGAGUAUAGAUGACGUUGGCGGAAUAUGACAUGUAGUGGUGAAAUACUUAGAUAUGUCAUAGAACACCGAUUGCGAAGGCAGCUAACGAAACUAUAACUGACGCUGAGGCACGAAAGUGCGGGGAUCAAACAGGAUUAGAUACCCUGGUAGUCCGCACCGUAAACGAUGAUUACUCGUUGUUGGCAAUAUGACCGUCAGCGACCAAGCGAAAGCGAUAAGUAAUCCAACCUGGGGAGUUACGCGCGAACGGUUGAACGUUCAANAGAGUUAGAGNGNGAGAGNGCGAGCGACGACGAGGAGGAGG